rnacentral:rRNA from 1 species
UGGGGAAUAUUGCGCAAUGGGGGAAACCCUGACGCAGCGACGCCGCGUGCGGGAUGAAGGCCUUCGGGUUGUAAACCGCUUUUGAUUGGGAGCAAGCUUUCGGGUGAGUGUACCUUUCGAAUAAGCGCCGGCUAACUACGUGCCAGCAGCCGCGGUAAUACGUAGGGGGCUAGCGUUAUCCGGAUUUACUGGGCGUAAAGGGUGCGUAGGUGGUCUUUCAAGUCGGUGGUUAAAGGCUACGGCUCAACCGUAGUUAGCCUCCGAAACUGGAAGACUUGAGUGAAGGAGAGGAAAGUGGAAUGCCCAGUGUAGCGGUGAAAUGCGUAGAUAUUGGGAAGAACACCAGUAGCGAAGGCGGCUUUCUGGACUGCAACUGACACUGAGGCACGAAAGCGUGGGUAGCAAACAGG